AAGUUUCGAUUACUGGCUCAGGAUGAACGCUGGCGGCGUGCUUCAUACAUGCAAGUCGAACGAGAAUUGGUAGCUUGCUACCAAGGAAAGUGGCGGACGGGUGAGUAAUACAUAGGGAAUCUGCCCUUAGCCGGGGGACAACAGUUGGAAACGACUGCUAAUACCGCAUAUGAGUAUAGUUGAGAUAUUAUACUUGAAAACUCCGGUGGCUAAGGAUGAGCCUGUGCCUGAUUAGUUAGUUGGCGGGUAAAGGCCCACCAAGGCGACGAUCAGUAGCUGGUUUGAGAGGAUGAUCAGCCACAAUGGGACUGAGACACGGCCCAUACUCCUACGGGAGGCAGCAGUAGGGAAUUUUGCGCAAUGGGCGAAAGCCUGACGCAGCCAACGCCGCGUGUGUGAUGAAGCCCCUAGGGGUGUAAAACACUGUCAGUGGGGACGAAAGAUGACGGUACCCACAGAGGAAGCACCGGCUAACUCCGUGCCAGCAGCAGC
rnacentral:rRNA from 1 species